rnacentral:rRNA from 1 species
GACGAACGCUGGCGGCGUGCUUAACACAUGCAAGUCGAACGGAAAGGCCCUGCUUUUGUGGGGUGCUCGAGUGGCGAACGGGUGAGUAACACGUGAGUAACCUGCCCUUGACUUUGGGAUAACUUCAGGAAACUGGGGCUAAUACCGGAUAGGAGCUCCUGCUGCAUGGUGGGGGUUGGAAAGUUUCGGCGGUUGGGGAUGGACUCGCGGCUUAUCAGCUUGUUGGUGGGGUAGUGGCUUACCAAGGCUUUGACGGGUAGCCGGCCUGAGAGGGUGACCGGCCACAUUGGGACUGGGAGACGGCCCAGACUCCUACGGGAGGCAGCAGUGGGGAAUAUUGCACAAUGGGCGGAAGCCUGAUGCAGCAACGCCGCGUGCGGGAUGACGGCCUUCGGGUUGUAAACCGCUUUCGCCUGUGACGAAGCGUGAGUGACGGUAAUGGGUAAAGAAGCACCGGCUAACUACG